rnacentral:rRNA from 1 species
AUGAACGCUGGCGGCGUGCCUAAUCCCUGCAAGUCGAGCGCACGGACGAGAAGCUUGCUUCUCUGAUGUUAGCGGCGGACGGGUGAGUAACACGUGGAUAACCUACCUAUAAGACUGGGAUAACUUCGGGAAACCGGAGCUAAUACCGGAUGAUAUUUUGAACCGCAUGGUUCAAAAGUGAAAGACGGUCUUGCUGUCACUUAUAGAUGGAUCCGCGCUGCCUUAGCUAGUUUGUAAGGUAACGGCUUACCAAGGCAACGAUGCAUAGCCGACCUGAGAGGGUGAUCGGCCACACUGGAACUGAGACACGGUCCAGACUCCUACGGGAGGCAGCAGUAGGGAAUCUUCCGCAAUGGGCGAAAGCCUGACGGAGCAACGCCGCGUGAGUGAUGAAGGUCUUCGGAUCGUAAAACUCUGUUAUUAGGGAAGAACAUAUGUGUAAGUAACUGUGCACAUCUUGACGGUACCUAAUCAGAAAGCCACGGCUAACUACGUG